rnacentral:lncRNA from 1 species
AAUGUGAUUAUCUUAAAUUAAAAUAAUAAAAGUUCGAAGCUUAAUUCUUAAUAAAUCAAAUAUUGAGGGAUAAAAUUAAAAAAACAAACAAAUUAAGAAAGGACCAAAAAAACCUACUAGAGUCUACCUGAGUUAACCUUCCAAAUACAUAACCUAGUCAUGAGAUCACGAUAAUUCCAUAAUAAGAAAAUUAAAUAAAACAAUGAAGCUCAAAUUUUAAAUAACCCAAUAUUAAAGAGCAAAACUGAAAAAAAAAAACAAUAUAAAAAAGAGAAACGAAAGAAAAAAAAUACUCGAGUCAACCAGGGUUAACCUGCUAAGCUCACGACCCUAGACAUGAGAUCAGAAUAACUUCAUAUAAAAGAAAGUGAAAAAAAAUCACGAAACUCAAUCUCCAACCACCGAAUGUUAAUUUUAAAAACAAUCAAUUUAAAAAAUAGACUUAAAAAAGGCUGAAGUCAGUCUAGGCUAAUA